rnacentral:misc_RNA from 1 species
GAAAUGCGAUAAGUAGUGUGAAUUGCAGAAUUCAGUGAAUCAUCGAAUCUUUGAACGCACAUUGCGCCCUUCGGUAUUCCGUUGGGCAUGCCUGUUCGAGCGUCAUUUAAACCUUCAAGCUCUGCUUGGUGUUGGGCGUUUGUCCCGCCUCUGCGCGUGGACUCGCCUCAAAUUCAUUGGCAGCCGGUACGUUGGCUUCGUGCGCAGCACAUUUGCGCGUCGUCUCCAGCCUGCCCCCUCCCAUCAAGCCACUUUUUUACUUUGACCUCGGAUCAGGUAGGGAUACCCGCUGAACUUAA